rnacentral:rRNA from 1 species
AUUGAACGCUGGCGGCAGGCCUAACACAUGCAAGUCGAGCGGACGAAGGGAGCUUGCUCCUGGAUUCGGCGGCCGACGGGCGAGUCAUGCCUAGGAAUCUGCCUGGUAGUGGGGGCUCACGUCCGGAAACGGGCGAUCAUACCGCAUCCGUCCAGAGGGCCAACGUGGGAGAUCCUCGGACCUCCGGCUCUCAGACGAGCCUAGGUCGGAUUGGCUAGUUGGUGGGGUAACGGCCUACCAGGGCGCCGACCCGUAACUCGUCUGAGAGGAUGAUCAGUCACACUGGAACUGAGACACGGUCCAGACUCCUACGGGAGGCAGCAGUGGGGAAUAUUGGACAAUGGGCGAAAGCCUGAUCCAGCCAUGCCGCGUGUGUGAAGAAGGCCUUCGGAUUGUAAAGCACUUUAAGUUGGGAGGAAGGGCAGUAUGUUAAUACCUUGCUGUUCUGACGGUACCCACAGAAUAAGCACCGGCUAACUUCGUG